GAUAAAAUGGGUGAAAAGUUGUCCCUAUAAAGGUUAGGGAUUUUAUAAGACAGUUGUCAGAGAGAGUGGCGAAUAAGAGUUGUAUAGCGUGUCAAGAUCUAGAAAGGUCACGGGGCUCCACCAACCUAAAGUGAAUAUCUUGAUGUGGGAAGCAUAUAGUUGUGCACACAUCGAUGUGAGGUCGCCAUAUCCCCAACUUGAUGAUGACCACACUCAGGAUAUGGGUGGCAUCAUGAGGCCUGCAUGUGUUUGCCAUUAAAAGCGGGUCACCAUAACUGCAAAAUCAGUUUCCCAGUAAAGGUUUUAUUGGGUAUGAGAAUUGCAAUCCCCAUGGCCAUCCAUCAGGCCCAUGUCAUGGACAAGCUAGUAAUGAAGACAAAUAGAUAGAGCUGGAGGUUUCAACCGGAAAGAGAAGAAGAAUCCUCAGAUUUGACAUCGUAUCAGUAUCAGCUGCAAAAGUGGGUGAGUAAGUGAGUGUUUGGAGUGUAACCCAUUUUGGUAAUGCCCCUCAAACCCACACAUUACCACUUUCUUCAAUCUAUGGUUUUGGUACAAUAUAUCAUCCCACGAUGGACAAAAGGCACGUGUCCACCACUACUUUUGUUUUUGGAAUGAUCAAUUCACCACUACUUAGUUUAAUUUUCAAUGUUUCCUAUUUUUAGCUCUCCACUUUUCUCUAACUCAACUUAUCGUUUAUUCUUUUCUUUCUAAUUUCUCUCCUCGUCUCCAACUCCUUUCUAGAUUGUUUAUCUGCUGUGUAAGCAGGAAACAUACAGGCGUUAAUGACCCGUCUUUGUCCAUGCUUGGGUUCUCUUCAGCUCAUCCAUCAAUGUGAGAGAUACCUUUUUAUCAACCAAUCUGAGAUACUUUGGUCCACCAAUAUCUGUGAGUAGGACAGCCAUAUAUAGAGGAAAAUUCUGUUUUUUUUUUUUUUCUUUCUAUCCUUUUGGGUUAUGAAAUGAGAUUAAAAAAAAAGUUCUAACUACGAAUAGCACGAAAAGGAGGAAAUAUUGGUGGACCACGUAACAUAUAGAAGACUCAUGUGAAACUUUUUUUUUAAAUGCAACUCCAGGACCACAACAUAGAUUAUGAGCCCAAUAAUGUCUGAAGGAGGAAAAUUCCUAUUCGUCCAAAGCAUCCACCGAUCUGAAUAAAGUGGUUUUCUUGGAUGAAUCAUAUGUUGAUCUUAAAAGAUGAGAAACUCUGGAAUGCAUGAUAGGUCCAACUUGUUGAUUAAUCAAGAUCCUGUGUGUAUGAUGGACCGGGCGAAAUAAAUCCUGUAGGUCGAACAAAGUAAAAGCUGGCAUCACCUAUAUAGCAUAGUUAUACUGUUCAUUGCACAGAUGUAAGAUAUUACUGGAGCAUAACCCAAAUGAUCAGAGGACAUGAUGCGGAGAUUCAGCACCUAAAACCAAAAGGAUAAGGUGGAGAUAAAGUAAAGGUCAUUGGUCAUUUCCCUUCCAAACCAAGGAUGAGUGAGACUGUCCGGUAUCAACUGAUAAAGCAAACGACAUAGAUCAUUUUCUUUCUAAAAAUGGAUUUGAUUUAGACUCUUCCAAGGUCAGGAAUUUCUAACGAGACAGUUAGUAAUCUAUUGAAAUGACGUGCAAGUGAUAUUUAAUUAUAACAUAUUGGCUUAUAAGACAAGACUUUUAAAAAAAAAAAAAAUAGUAUAUCAAAAAGAAAAAAACAAAACAAACAUAUAAAGGCGUGAAUGCAGCACCAAUCAAAACUAUAGAAGAUCGAUGACAUAUUGACCUUUGAAACUUAUUCAUAAUGUUAAGAUUAUCUUCUAGGGUCAUUUUCCAUUUAUUAAACCUUCCAAGGUCCAACACAAUAUGAUCAAUUCAUCUCAAAUUGACAACCUAACCUAUCAAAGUACAAACAGGGUUUACUUUUAAACAUAGGUCAGUAAUCUAGUAGUGUAAGAAUAACUUUCAAAAGUGUACAUCCUACUACUUCAAAAUUUGAAAUA